GGUGAAAGAUUUAUUGUCUAAAGAUUGGCUCGCGUCAGAUUAGCUAGUUGGAGUGGUAACGGCACACCAAGGCGACGAUCUGUACUUGGUCUGAGAGGAUGACCAGGCACACUGGAACUGAGACACGGUCCAGACUCCUACGGGAGGCAGCAGUGGGGAAUUUUCCGCAAUGGGCGAAAGCCUGACGGAGCAAUACCGCGUGAGGGAGGACGGUUUUUGGGUUGUAAACCUCUUUUAUCAGGGAAGAAUCGAUGACGGUACCUGAUGAAUCAGCAUCGGCUAACUCCGUGCCAGCAGCCGCGGUAAUACGGAGGAUGCAAGCGUUAUCCGGAAUUAUUGGGCGUAAAGCGUCCGUAGGUGGUUUAUCAAGUCUGCUGUCAAAGCGUGCGGCUUAACCGCAUAAGGGCAGUGGAAACUGAUGAACUAGAGUGCGAUAGGGGUAACAGGAAUUCCCAGUGUAGCGGUGAAAUGCGUAGAUAUUGGGAAGAACACCAGCGG
rnacentral:rRNA from 1 species